rnacentral:rRNA from 1 species
UACGUAGGGUGCAAGCGUUAAUCGGAAUUACUGGGCGUAAAGCGUGCGCAGGCGGUGAUGUAAGACAGUUGUGAAAGCCCCGGGCUCAACCUGGGAAUUGCAUUGGAAACUAGCGGGCUGGAGUGUGGCAGAGGGGGGUGGAAUUCCACGUGUAGCAGUGAAAUGCGUAGAGAUGUGGAGGAACACCGAUGGCGAAGGCAGCCCCCUGGGCUAACACUGACGCUCAUGCACGAAAGCGUGGGGAGCAAACAGG